GUUGUAUAUCGUUAAAUUAUUAUUACUUGGUUUUUUAUUUCAUCACAAGAUUUUGAGAUCUUUAAAAAAGGAUGCACAUAAUUAAGGAAAGAGAAUUCAUGAAAAGAUUAGGAAGGAAGCUCAUGAGAAGUUGAAGGUGGAAAGGGGUGAUGUUGUGCACUACAAUUAUCAUGAUGAAAGACGCAAAUGAAGAUUCUCAUGGACAAGGUUACACUUGGUGAUAUGGCUAAGCUUGCUACAACAAAGUAUGAUGUUAAUAAGAAAGCUUAUGUUUGUUUUUCAA